rnacentral:tRNA from 1 species
UGGUUCAGUGGUAGAAUGCUUGCCUUCCAAGCUGGCGGCCCGGGUUCGAUUCCCGC